GAGUUUGAUCCUGGCUCAGAACGAACGCUGGCGGCGUGCUUAACACAUGCAAGUCGAACGUGAUCCAGAGCUUGCUCUGGUGAAAGUGGCGCACGGGUGAGUAACGCGUGGAUAACCUGCCCUGGUAUCUGGGAUAACAUCUCGAAAGGGGUGCUAAUACCGGAUAAGCCUACGGGAUCUUCGGAUUCUGCAGGAAAAGGAGGCCUCUAUUUAUAAGCUUCCGUAUCAUGAUGGGUCCGCGUACCAUUAGCUAGUUGGUGGGGUAAUGGCCUACCAAGGCGACGAUGGUUAGCUGGUCUGAGAGGAUGAUCAGCCACACUGGAACUGAGACACGGUCCAGACUCCUACGGGAGGCAGCAGUGGGGAAUUUUGCGCAAUGGGGGAAACCCUGACGCAGCAACGCCGCGUGAGUGAUGAAGGCUUUCGGGUCGUAAAGCUCUGUCAGAGGGGAAGAAAUGARWCKKGCUAAUAUCMMGWUUUCUUGACGGUACCCUCAAAGGAAGCACCGGCUAACUCCGUGCCAGCAGCCGCGGUAAUACAAGGGCSMMYYCYR
rnacentral:rRNA from 1 species